CCAAGUGCCCGGUAUAGGUAUGCCUACCAGCUGCCUCUAUCGCGUGCCAUCCUUACCACCCUUGUCUAUGUAUACCUUUGUUAUCCCUCGGCUAGGUUCGCGUAACCCAGCCGGUCGGGACCCUAAACACCCUUGUAAUUAAGCAUUCUAUUUUCUGAUAACCCUUUAAAAAAGUAA
rnacentral:misc_RNA from 1 species